rnacentral:rRNA from 1 species
GUGGCGGACGGGUGAGUAACGCGUGAGUAACCUGCCUUUCAGAGGGGAAUAACGUUCUGAAAAGAACGCUAAUACCGCAUAACGUACAGUUACCGCAUGGUAGCAGUACCAAAGGAGCAAUCCGCUGAAAGAUGGACUCGCGUCCGAUUAGCUAGUUGGUGGGGUAAAGGCCUACCAAGGCGACGAUCGGUAGCCGGACUGAGAGGUUGAACGGCCACAUUGGGACUGAGACACGGCCCAG